rnacentral:sRNA from 1 species
GAGCGUAAGCUCCGGCAUAACAAUAAUACUGAAAUUCCUCUUUGACGGGCCAAUAUCACUAUUGGCCAUUUUUUU